UCGCAAGCGUUACCUGGCACGAGGUUGGUGUGAGUGCCCAAAGGCGGCUACCGCCAAAUGCAGAUGGUGACGACACACGUGGUUGAUGGCGAUAACAUCUCAUGACAAUAUAAGGAAACUGAGGUACUGAAUACUUAAGUGAUGUGUCCAGGGUCACUCAGCCAGGGAGCUCAGGUCUUCCUGACUCCAAGAUACGGGUUCCAUCCGAGGAAGGCCAGAGAAAUAUUGACGUCUGAAUGGAGGAAACAGAAUUCAGAGCUGAUGCCACGGACAGUAGUAAUGACUGGUGUGUGGAAGUAGAUCAGAAUGGAAAUUCCAGAGACUUUCAUGGAGCAUGGAAUGGAAUACAGAAUGGGAAAGCAACGUCAGAGUCAGGUUCCACUGACUUUUCAUGACUCUGUUCAUAGACUAGUUGGAGAAGAGGAGUCUGGAUCAGAGAGCUACUAGUAAGGAUGAACUGAAAACCAAGAAAGAAAAAGAAGAUAGGGCUGGAGGAAAAAGAUAAAGGAGGAAGAAAAACCUUCUUGAGCAAACCUCUGAGAAUCAUGCAAUGCACGUCCUUGUGCCUUUUGCUCACUGCCGUCUUGCUGACUUUUAAAGUCGAGAUGCAUUUCUGACUCAGAGCAUCAGCUCUGCAGGCACAGCGGCCAAGGUACCCAUGGCCAAGGAAGGCACUGGGGCCAAGGCACGGCGAAACAGCUGACUCAUGACUCUGCCCCUUUGCUGCAAUUACAAACAUUAUCAUCUCAUCUGGAAUUAGGUGGGGUGGUGGUUGGAUAUGAAAUAUUCACUUGGGAGCAGCUUUGAUGAAGUUUAAUGAAAUACAUAAGCCAGGGUGUUUCUUCGAAUUCCCCUUAAUUUAAGAAACUCCCAUUAACGUAAUAAAAAAUAAUUUGCCCAUUAUAAAUUAAUUAAUAGAUUUAAA